rnacentral:rRNA from 1 species
AGGCUAUUGCUAUCGGUGUCCGAUUUAGCCAUGCGAGUCGUGCGGGUUCAGACCCGCGGCGAACUGCUCAGUAACACGUGGCCAAGCUACCCUCUGGAGACGGAUAACCUCGGGAAACUGAGGCUAACCCGUCAUACCGCUUCCGAGCUGGAGUGCUGGAAGCGGGAAACGCUCCGGCGCCGGAGGAUGCGGCUGCGGCCGAUU